CGCUGUGCCUCCACCUUCCUAACACUGCAACCCUCUAAUGCAGCUCCUCACGUUGUGGUGAACUGCCCUAAAAUUAUUUUUGUUGCUACUUCAUCGUUGCAAUUUUGCUACCGUUGUGAAUUGUAAGGGAAAUAUCUGAUAUGCAGGAUAUCUGAUGUGUGACUCCCAAAGGGGUCUCAACCCACAGGUUAAGAACUGCUGCUGUAGAGGUUCCCUCCUAAGAGCCUGGGUCAAGGCAGCUCCAGCACGGGUUAUGGGAUGGGAAGUCUGUCCAUCCGAGGGCUAUUUGGGAUAAGAGGACUAAGAUCCAAGGCAAGAAGAAGAGGAGGGGGAGGAAGAGGAAGAAGAGGAGGCGGAAGCUGCUAGACCUAACUGAAGCAAGGCUGGAGAUGGAGAAGACUUGAGGGUUGGCUAGUUAGAGUCAAAACAUACCCUGGGGAGGGAGCCAGGGAAAUGGGACCAUCUAUGCCUCUUUGUUUUUUUUUUAGCCCCAGUGCCUUGCUCUGUACUGGGCACACAUACCCAGUUCAGAGAGGAAGGAAGGCAUCUGUGAGUAUAUUGGGUACAAGAAGCUGUGAGAACCCUGGAUAUGCAGCAGCUGUGUCUCACUCUGGAGGGAUACCCAUCUGAAGGUCAAGAGAAGGCCUCAGGGCCGCCACCCAACAACACUCCCCAGGGCCAGCUGCCAGACUGAGGUGGUGGCCCAUGUCGAGGAGGGGUCUGAGCCUCUUUGGAAGAGAAAAUGGGUGGGAGAUGCUUUGGCGAUGGUUCCAGAGUGCAACCAGACACUGAAGAGCUG
rnacentral:lncRNA from 1 species